UACGAAGGGGGCUAGCGUUGCUCGGAAUCACUGGGCGUAAAGGGUGCGUAGGCGGGUCUUUAAGUCAGGGGUGAAAUCCUGGAGCUCAACUCCAGAACUGCCUUGAUACUGAAGAUCUGAGUUCGGGAGAGGUGAGUGGAACUGCGAGUGUAGAGGUGAAAUUCGUAGAUAUUCGCAAGAACACAAGUGGCGAAGGCGGCUCACUGGCCCGGUACUGACGCUGAGGUGCGAAAAGCGUGGGGAGCAAACAGG
rnacentral:rRNA from 1 species